rnacentral:ncRNA from 1 species
CUUAUCAAGAGCGGCGGAGGAACCAGGUCCUGUGAAGCCCGGCAACCUGUUAUCAAGGUGCCAAAUCCUGCGGUAUUUACCGAAAGAUGAGG